UGUGCUACCUCAACAUGAGCCCAAAAGCAGUGGGGCCAACCAAUUAUGGAUCCCCACCAUGAUGUGCUACCUCAACAUGAGCCCAAAAGCACUGGGGCCAACCAACCAUGGAAUGGAACACCCUUUUCUCUACACAAGCAGAUUGUCUCAGGGAUCUUGUUGUUUGAUUCCAAAGAAGUGACUUCAGAAAAUGAACACAAAUUUGGAAGGAACCCGUGGUAAGCAGUACCCUUGAAGGCAUCUUUUGAUUUCUGAAUCUGCUGCCUCAAAAAUCCAACCUAAGACACAGGAAUUAUUCUUAUCAGCUGUUGGGAAAACCAGAACUCUUCAGAUCCAUCCCAUUCAAGGCACAAAUGGGAGACUCAUGACAAACAGAAGAUAGAAGACUCACACUGGACACCUGGGACUCAAUAUCACUGUUUUAAAAGUGUUAUAAAAGAAGAUGGUAUGAUAAUUUUUUUUCAUUUGAUACAUGUGUUAGUCAGCUUUCUGUUACUGUAACAAAUGCCUGAGAGAAUCAAUUUAUAAGGAAAAAA